GGUUUGUCGCGUUGUUCGUGAAAUCUCACGGCUUAACUGUGAGCGUGCGGGCGAUACGGGCAGACUUGAGUACUGCAGGGGAGACUGGAAUUCCUGGUGUAGCGGUGGAAUGCGCAGAUAUCAGGAGGAACACCGGUGGCGAAGGCGGGUCUCUGGGCAGUAACUGACGCUGAGGAGCGAAAGCGUGGGGAGCGAACAGGAUUAGAUACCCUGGUAGUCCACGCCGUAAACGGUGGGUACUAGGUGUGGGUUUCCUUCCUUGGGAUCCGUGCCGUAGCUAACGCAUUAAGUACCCCGCCUGGGGAGUACGGCCGCAAGGCUAAAACUCAAAGAAAUUGACGGGGGCCCGCACAAGCGGCGGAGCAUGUGGAUUAAUUCGAUGCAACGCGAAGAACCUUACCUGGGUUUGACAUGCACAGGACGCCGGCAGAGAUGUCGGUUCCCUUGUGGCCUGUGUGCAGGUGGUGCAUGGCUGUCGUCAGCUCGUGUCGUGAGAUGUUGGGUUAAGUCCCGCAACGAGCGCAACCCUUGUCUCAUGUUGCCAGCGGGUAAUGCCGGGGACUCGUGAGAGACUGCCGGGGUCAACUCGGAGGAAGGUGGGGAUGACGUCAAGUCAUCAUGCCCCUUAUGUCCAGGGCUUCACACAUGCUACAAUGGCCGGUACAAAGGGCUGCGAUGCCGCGAGGUUAAGCGAAUCCUUUUAAAGCCGGUCUCAGUUCGGAUCGGGGUCUGCAACUCGACCCCGUGAAGUCGGAGUCGCUAGU
rnacentral:rRNA from 1 species